UUUUUUUUAUUUAUUUUUGACAGGCAGAGUGGACAGUGAGAGAGAGAGACAGAGAGAAAGGUCUUCCUUUUGCCGUUGGUUCACCCUCCAGUGGCCGCCGCGGCCGGCGCACCGCGCUGAUCCGAUGGCAGGAGCCAGGUGCUUCUCCUGGUCUCCCCUGGGGUGCAGGGCCCAAGCACUUGGGCCAUCCUCCACUGCACGCCCUGGCCACAGCAGAGAGCUGGCCUGGAAGAGGGGCACCACGACAGAACCAGCGCCCCAACCGGGACUAGAACCCGGGGUGCCGGUGCCGCAAGGCGGAGGAUUAGCCUAGUGAGCCGCGGCGCCGGCCCUGUAGGUUUUGCUUUCUAAGACGUUUGGUUUUGAGUUCUUCUUGCGUAGGUGAGGAGUGAGGCUGCAGCUUCGCUCUGCUGCCCGUGGGCGGCUGGUCAUCCCGGCGCUGGCUAGACAGGCAGUCCUGUCCUCGUCGAGGAAAAGCUCGGCGUCCUGUAAGCGUGAGGAUUUACCUCUGCGCACUCAGUUCUAUUUCUUAUGCCAGGACUGUGCUCUCUCGGUUACUUGUGCCUUUCAUUUGUUUUGAGAUCUGGAAUUGUGAGCCCUGUCUUUGUUCUUUUUCAAGGUAGUCUAUUCUGGUCCCUUGAAUUUCCAUAUCAGUUUCUGGAUCAGAUUAUCAGUUUCUGUAAGGAGCCAGCUGGGAAUUUGAUGGGAUUGCAUUGAAUUUGUGUUGAAUUUGAGAAGCUUGGACAUCUUAAUGGUGUUCAGUCUUGAUAUACGAGCAUGGGUUUCUCCAUUUGUUUAGGUCUUUAAUUUAUUUCAAUAGUCCCCCCCCCCCCCCCCCCAAUCUUAAACAGUUUAUUUAUUUGAGAGACUGAGAGAGGGAGAAACAGUGCCAGAGAGAAAUGUCUGAUCCACUGGUUCACUCCCCAAAUGCUUGCAACAUACAGGACUGGGCCUGGUUGAAGCCCAGAGUUGGGAACUCAGUUCACAUCUCUACGUGGGUGGCGGGGACCCUGCUGCUUGAGCCAUCCUCUGUGGCCUCCCAGGGUGUGUGUUGGUAGGAAGCUGGACCAAGGAAGGGAGCCAGGGCUCAGAGCCUGCACUCUGACCUGGCUGUGCUGUCCCAAGUGGCGACCUGACUGCUACACCAAACUGCCACCCUCAGUGUUUUGUAGUUUUCAAGGCACUCAUUUUACACUUUGUGAAAUCUGUUCUUAGAUACUCCUUUUUGGGUUGCUAUUACAAGUAGAAUAGUUUUUUUUAACUUCAGUUUUGGAUGGUUUAUUGCAUGUGAGCAGAAACAGGAUUGCUUUUGUAUGUUGAUUGUGCCUCCUGCAGGCGUGCUGAGCUUGCUUUUCUCAUUCUGAUGGUUUUUAGAAGCUUGCAGAGGAUUUUCUCUUACCAGAUCCCGUUAUCUUGUGAGGCAGUUUUACUUCCUCCUCUGAGAUCUGGACGCCUUUCAUUUCUCAUCCUUGCCUAAUUUUGCUGGCUGGAACCUCUAGUACAUUGUUGAGUGAAAGUGGUGAGAGUGGAUAUCCUUGUCUUUUUUUCUGAGUUUAGGGGGGAAAAUUUAAUCUUUCACCAUUAAGAGAUUAGUAUGAGUCUUUUUGGUGUAUAUUAUUUAAAGAUUUAUUUAUUUGAGAAGCAGAGUUACAGACAGAGGGAGAGACAGAGAGAAGUCUUCCAUCCGCUGGUUCACUCCCAAAUGGCCACAAUGGCUGGAGCUGAGCCGAUCCGAAGCCAGGAGCCAGGAGCUUCUUUUGGGUCUCCCAUGCGGGUAAAGGUGCCCAAGUACUUGGGCCAUGUUCUGCUGCUUGUCCAGGCCACAGCAGAGGGCUAGAUUGGAAGAGGAGCAGCCGGGACAUGAACAGGUGCCCAUAGGGAUACUGGUGCUGCAGGCGGGGGCUUAGCCCACUGGGCCACAGCGCUGACCCCUGGUGUAUAUUAUUUAGAUAUUCCUGGUUUACUGAGAAUUUCAUAAAGAGGUGUUGAAUUUUGUCAGAUGCUUUUUCUGCGUGUAUUGAAAUGCUCUGGUGGAUUUAGCCCUUUCUCUUACAUUGAAGGAGUUUUGGUUAAGCCAGGCUGUGCUCCUUUUCAUGUGUAGCUGGGUUUGACUUGAGGUGUUUCGUUGGGGUUUUAUGUGCUCAGUUGGGGUUGUUACUGGCCUGCAGUUUUCUUUCCUUGUGAUGCUUUUGUGUGUUUUGGUGUUAGGAAUCCUGGCCUUCUGGCCUGAGCUGGGAGGCGUUCCCUCCUUUUCCAGAUCCUUGAGAGGUUUAGGAAGAUUGGUGCUGAUUCCCAUGUUCGGUAGCAUGUACCUGUGACGUCAGCGGGCUUCCUUUGUGAGCAGCAUUUCGACUUUGCGUGGCAAGUGUCUGUGCAGAUUUUCGCAUUCUGUUUGAGUAAGUUUUUGUUGUUUGUGUCUUUCUAGGAAUUUGUCCCUUUCCCCAGGUUAUCUUGCUUAUUGAUAUUGUUUGUGACAUUUGUUUGUGAUAGUCUCGUGUAAUUUGUUUCAUUUUUGUUAAGUCUGUAUAAUGUCCUUUCCCUCGUUUCCGACUUCAGUCAUUUGUGUCUUUUUCUUUUAGUCAUUCUGGCUGUUGGCUUGUCAUCUUUUCAGAGAGUCAUCUUUUAGUCUUGUGGAUUUUCUGGGGCCUCAGAUUCUACAUCAGUAACCAGGCUAGUGGGUUUUUUGACCUCUCCUGGAGCGUUGCUGCAGCCCUGUGGCUACCUGGCCCUGUGGCUGUUUGGCUGUUGUGUCCCCCGGUUGCUGUGGCUCUGAGCAGUUGCCUCUUCUCUCUCUGAUGGUGGUCAGGAUCAGGCGAGUGGGAAGGGCUCCUGCUUCCUCCCACUUCUCCAGAAAGUCCUUCUGCCAUCCAUGUGAACCUUGUGGCCAGCUGGCUUCCUGUUCAGAGUACCCCCUUUCACACACAUAAUGAAACCCCACAGAGCAGCUGUGGAGCUCCUGCAUUGAAACAGACAAACAAAAUCCAGAGGAGUGAACUUGCAGAAAGAGAGAAAUCGUCAUGGUGACGGAGGUCUGCCCUGUGCAGGUUCACACUGUGUGUUACUGAGACCUGUGCCUGGAGCGAAGGGACCAGCACUUCCCUCACUCCAGAGGCGCAGUGCAGGGCAGCGGUGACCUCUGUGAAUGACAUGCGCUAGGGUUUGCUGGAACCCAGCGUCUGGGUGGUGCUGUGUGGUCAUCCCUUGCUCCCGUGGGAGUCUGGUUUUGCAGGCUGCUGGGUGCCUGUGACCUGGAUGGGCCAGUUGAGUUUUCUGUCUCUGUUCUUCCAUCUUCAGAUGGGAAAGAUCCUGUCUGCCUCUCGGGGUUGUGGAGAUGAGACUCUGGCCGCCUGCUGUCCUCUAGAGCAGUGCUGCGUGUCUGUUGUCCUCUCUUGCUGUUCCCUGCGUUGACUCUCUGCGGUAGCUCACACUGAAGAACAGGGCACUGGGCCCCAUGGGGGCUGUCGUGGGUGGUUGCUGCUGAGCUGUGGGCACCCGGUGGUAGUCACAGUGAUGGGCCUCGCUUUGUGGGUUCCACUCCUGUGGUGAUGGUACCCAGCCCCAGCGCCCACUGUCUCCUCCCAGUGGUCAGGGCGGUGCUGUGGUUUGCCCCUGGUGCCCCGGGCAAUGCUGGCCGAGUGGACGGGCCAGAGCUUGGCCUGCAGGUGUCCUUCCCGUGUGAGGGCCUGUUGCUAACUCCCGUGUCCGCAGAGACGCCCGUGGUGUUUCAGGUCUCUGCUUAGCAGUUUCGUCCGAGAUCACGUCAUUCCCUGCUAGCUUCUCCUGGGAGGGAGAAGUCACAGCUUAGCCUUGCAGGGUUCCCGUCUCUCUUCUGCAUCUCCCUCCUCUCCUGGGGGGGUGGGACCCUCGAGGGCACGCACUUCUCCUCACUGCAUGGAUGGUCUGAGCUGCCACUUCCUUCUUCCCAGCUGCCCCUUUGUGGGCCUAUCUCUGCCUGGAGCCUUCUGCCUGCCCUGCUUGGCUCCUGUCUGAGUGUCAGCAGUUUUUCCUCAAGGAACCUUCCUUCCGAGACUGGCCUAUCACGCGCUGCGCUGCCAGUUCACACCGCCCAGGCCUGAGUGAGUUGUGAGGUCAGGCACAGUGUGAAUGAGCUAUGAGGUCACCCACGGGCAUGAGUGAGCUGUGAGGUGACCCACGGGCCUGAGUCAGCUGUGAGGUCAGGCACGGUGUGAGUGAGCUGUGAGGUCAGGCACGGGCCUGAGUGAGCUGUGAGGUCAGGCACGGUGUGAGUGAGCUGUGAGGUCAGGCACGGUGUGAG